rnacentral:lncRNA from 1 species
AACAACCCUAAAGAUAAAUAACAGACCAACCUCAGAGAUAACCCUGAAGAAGACAGAUGCCGCCACGUCAAGCCCGAACCGACCAGAGAGGGAAAAAUAGUAAUUUUUCCAACUCAACAUCAAUUCAACCUAAAUCACUACAAAAGAGGUCAUGCAGAACCAUAACGUCAAUCCCGAGUGAAAAUAACACAAGACAACUCAACGAAUGGAC